UACGUAGGGUGCGAGCGUUAAUCGGAAUUACUGGGCGUAAAGCGUGCGCAGGCGGUUCGUUAAGUCAGAUGUGAAAGCCCCGGGCUCAACCUGGGAACUGCAUUUGAAACUGGCGGGCUUGAGUGUGGCAGAGGGGGGUAGAAUUCCACGUGUAGCAGUGAAAUGCGUAGAGAUGUGGAGGAACACCGAUGGCGAAGGCAGCCCCCUGGGUCAAGAUUGACGCUCAUGCACGAAAGCGUGGGGAGCAAACAGG
rnacentral:rRNA from 1 species